GAGGCCGCAGCCCUGAAGACUGCAGCUGGCGGGAACCGAGCUUCCCUACCCGAUCCCCGGGGGGAAGAUCCAGAAGCAAGCGGCUCCACACACCGGAGGCACGAGGCACCAAGGCGCCAGCCUACGGAGGCUUCAGAACCGCAACAAGACCCGGGUGAGAGGGGGAGGAGACCCCGGCAGGAAGGGCCCUGGAAGAGGCGGAGGGCAGAGGCUGGGGGCGGCGGCGGCAGCCGUUCCCGGGGAGGGGGAUUACCUGACUGUGACGGUAGAAAACUGUCCUCGGACUCCGGCGGCGGUCCCGGCUGCGCACCGUGUGGUGUCUCUCCCGCUUCCCCCGCAAGAGCAGCAGUAGCAGCAGCAGCAACAGCAGCUCCCUCAGCCAGUCGCCAUUUCCCGCCUACCGACCUGCUGCACCGCACGGACAGAGACCCGGAUGGAGAGCGGCCUCUCCGCGCAGGCGCCCUGGCUCCCUCCACCCCCUCCCGCCACAAUUCCGCGAGGUGGGGGGAAGGGUUGGGAGAGGCUGUAGCAGCUGAGGAGACUCCGGUUUCCGUGACAGGAAUUAGGAGCUACUGUCUCUGGAAGGAACUGGUCCAAGUUCCUGACAACAGUUGAACGGAGGGCCCUAGGACCAGGGGGAGCGGCAGGAGUACAGGAUCUACGACGGGGCAGAGGGAUAUUUGUACAUUAGGGGCCUCCGUAGCCGGCUGUGUUGUGGUCGCGGGAGGAGUAGGGAGUAAAGCGUUGGGGGGCGAGGGGGCGGGGACCGGGAGGACGGUUUUUUCUCCCGCUGGUAACGGAACUACUGGGGCGGGGAGAGGAGGGGAAGGAGAACGCGCCCUCGCCCUGGGGGGAGGGACUUAAAGGAAUGUCGCGCGCUGUGGCCCUGUGCCUUGCGAGCGAGUCCACGAGCCGGGAGGUGGAACCAGACCAGCCCCACGGGGGUGGUGCGCUGCGGGGGCGGGUCCGGCUGUCUGGCGCGCGAAAGGUGGGCAUGAGUUGGAGUGUUCGAGUGUGCAGGUUUGGCGGAGGCCGGCGGCCAAGGGCUAUUGGCUUUCUUUGGGUCUGUCUUUUCCCCAGGGGCCUUUGACGUCUGCCCAGCCUGGCUGCCUUGGCGUCAUAAUUGCUUUGGGGAUUCGUUCUUGGUUUAUUUGCAAAACUGCUCUCUCUCCCUUCUCUUGCUGGGCUCACUCGGGCGUCUGUAGAGAUCGCACGCCCAACCCCACCCUUGGCCACCCGUUACCUAUCUGAUUCGGCUUGUACCCUUUCCACUGGGUACACUUGUCUCCUAAAGAUCCCCAACUUUAAGCCAUCUUGGGAAUCCCUGACUCUUGCACGUGUGCAAAUCUUGCGCUUUGCAAAGAAGCCCUGCACUGUAGUCACCAGAACGACUCGAAUGCCUUGUAUUUAGUGUUUAAAAAAAAACAAAACUUAAUAGGAUGUAUUCCUUCACACCCGUUUUUUUUUUUUCAUUUGAAUUUUGCUACAAACCCCCGAGGGAAACAAGUUGAGUAGUUGGGAGUGCGUCUCCUUCCUCUGAGCAUCUUUUACAAGUCAGACCCAACCAGCUUUGUCAGUUUGAUCCUUAAUGCCUCACAUUGAUUAAAAACAAAUGCACCAAGACCUUCCUGGUGUGCCCCCGGCAUUUAUUGAGAGUUUGCUAGUCUCGUAAUCCUUGUUUAAUUGAAGACAGAGAUCAUAGAUUGUUAGAACCCUACUGGUGAUCCCAGAAAUCAGUGGGGAAUAAAUGUUUGCCGAAUCACCA
ensembl:lncRNA